AGUAAAAUUAAGUAUCAUGCCCCAAAGUUCUCUGCUUAGUAAGAAGUAGAGGCAAGCCCAAACCUAAGUCAUCUGAUUUCAGAGCCCAUACAGUUAAAUGCUCUAAAUGCAGCUUCCCGUGAUGAUGGUGACUAUGAGAGCCUGUCACAUAUGAUGUAGGACAGUGCUUCCCUGUAACAUGCACAAGAUUCCCGUGAUGACGGUGACUAUGAGAGCCUGUCAGAUACGAUGUAGGACAGUGCUUCCCUGUAACAUGCACAAUAUUCCCGUGAUGAUAGUGACUAUGAGACCCUGUCACCUACGAUGUAGAACAGUGCUUCCCUGUAACAUGCACAAGAUCACAUGAUGAUGGUGAUUAUGAGAGCCUGUCACAUACGAUGUAGGACAGUGCUUCCCUGUAACAUGUGCAAGAUUCCCGUGAUGAUGGUGACUAUGAGAGCCUGUCACAUAUGAUGUAGGACAGUGCUUCCCUGUAACAUGUGCAAGAUUCCCAUGAUGAUGGUGACUAUGAGAGCCUGUCACAUAGGAUGUAGGACAGUGCUUCCCUGUAACAUGCACAAGAUUCACCCAGGGAUCUCUUUAAAAUGCAAAACCAUAGACCACACUUUGACUGGCUUGGAUAAGGGGUCAGAGCAUCGAAAUGAGUGUGUAGGUGACUGUGCUAAAAUUCUCCUGCUCAUGUGGGCACUGGCUCAUGAUAUUAACAAAGCUUAGGACCUCUAGUCCUUUCUGGAAAGAAAAUACACAUACAUAGCAUGUGACUGUGCAUAUGGAAUAUCUGUUGUGUUCUGGACAUUGUGCUGGACAACAGAGAUAAGAAGUCAAAUAUCCCUUGUCUCUAUCUGAAAGGAGCUUCC
rnacentral:lncRNA from 10 species